rnacentral:misc_RNA from 1 species
GAAGAAGUUGAGGUUUACUAGUAAGAAUGGAUGUCAGUAAUAUUGAGAGAUGAAAUUCCUUCUCAUGAAUUUUUUGAAAUUUUAAGAUAGAUAUACUGAGGUAAUGGUUUUAUUCUUAUUUUUGAGUGUGUGCAGUUCUAAGCAAUGUUUUUUAGAUUGUAACACUUGCAGAAAAAUUUAAGGAAAAUAUAUGUGGAAUUAAAAUUAUUUUGAAAUAGGA